rnacentral:rRNA from 1 species
GACGAACGCUGGCGGCGUGCUUAACACAUGCAAGUCGAACGGAAAGGCCCCUUUGGGGGUACUCGAGUGGCGAACGGGUGGGUAACACGUGAGUAACCUGCCCUUGACUUCGGGAUAACUUCAGGAAACUGGGGCGAAUACCGGAUAGGAAUCCUUGCUGCAUGGUGGGGGUUGGAAAGCUUCGGCGGUUUUGGAUGGACUCGCGGCUUAUCAGCUUGUUGGUGGGGUAGUGGCUUACCAAGGCUUUGACGGGUAGCCGGCCUGAGAGGGCGACCGGCCACAUUGGGACUGAGAUACGGCCCAGACGCCUACGGGAGGAAGCAGUGGGGAAUAGUGCACAAUGGGCGGAAGCCUGAUGCAGCAAGGCCGCGUGCGGGAUGACGGCCUUCGGGUUGUAAACCGCUUUCAGCAGGGGCGAAGCUUGUGGUGACGGUACCUGCAGAAGAAGCACCGGCUAACUACGUG